AUUGAACGCUGGCGGCAGGCCUAACACAUGCAAGUCGAACGCGUGGCGGACGGGUGAGUCAUGUAUGGGAACCUGCCUGAUGGAGGGGGAUAACUACUGGAAACGGUAGCUAAUACCGCAUACCAUCGGAUGUGCCCAGAUGGGAUUAGCUAGUAGGUGUGGUAAAGGAUCACCUAGGCGACGAUCCCUCGCUGGUGUGAGAGGAUGACCAGCCACACUGGAACUGAGACACGGUCCAGACUCCUACGGGAGGCAGCAGUGGGGAAUAUUGCACAAUGGGCGCAAGCCUGAUGCAGCCAUGCCGCGUGUAUGAAGAAGGCCUUCGGGUUGUAAAGUACUUUCAGCGGGGAGGCGUUACCCGCAGAAGAAGCACCGGCUAACUCCGUGCCAGCAGCCGCGGUAAUAC
rnacentral:rRNA from 1 species